rnacentral:ncRNA from 1 species
GAGCGAGGACGCCCUCCCCCAUUCCGGGACAACGCUCCGGGACGGCCCGG